CUCCUUUCCCCGCGGCGCACGUCAUUAUCCCCGCCUCUAUCUUUCUCCCCGGAGGUAAGCUACACACCCCAUCAUUCCUCCAUUUCAUUUUGAUCUGUCUCUCCCACCUGAAAACUAUAACACUUUUCUACUUAAGCCAAAUUAAGCCUAUAUUGCUGUUGUUGCAAUUUUUUUUUCUUUUUUCUAAUUUUAUGAUUUGAGGUUAUUUGUUUAUUUGGCUUGAUCAGG
rnacentral:misc_RNA from 1 species